GACCUUAUAGUCAAGAAAUGAUUUUAGACUGCAAUUCUAAAGGGGUAGUUACACCUACUGGGGUCU
rnacentral:tRNA from 1 species